GAUGAACGCUGGCGGCGUGCCUAAUACAUGCCAGUCGAGCGAACAGAUGAGGAGCUUGCUCCUCUGACGUUAGCGGCGGACGGGUGAGUAACACGUGGAUAACCUACCUAUAGGACUGGGAUAACUUCGGGAAACCGGAGCUAAUACCGGAUAAUAUAUUGAACCGCAUGGUUCAAUAGUGAAAGACGGUUUUGCUGUCACUUAUAGAUGGAUCCGCGCCGCAUUAGCUAGUUGGUAAGGUAACGGCUUACCAAGGCAACGAUGCGUAGCCGACCUGAGAGGGUGAUCGGCCACACUGGAACUGAGACACGGUCCAGACUCCUACGGGAGGCAGCAGUAGGGAAUCUUCCGCAAUGGGCGAAAGCCUGACGGAGCAACGCCGCGUGAGUGAUGAAGGUCUUCGGAUCGUAAAACUCUGUUAUUAGGGAAGAACAAAUGUGUAAGUAACUAUGCACGUCUUGACGGUACCUAAUCAGAAAGCCACGGCUAACUACGUG
rnacentral:rRNA from 1 species